CUACUUUUUGUUUGGCUGCGAAUAUGUUGAUCAUCUCUCUGUCUUCAAACUCCAACGCAGGUUUGUAAUGAGUUUGAAAUCCAAAGUGUAGACCAAACCUUCAAAGAAAUCCUUAGGGAGAAUAUGUUUCUCGUCACAAUAACCUCAACUAUCAUAUCUCAAAUAAUCGUGAUCGAGUUUGCCAGCAUUUUCAUUUCUUCCGUCAGGCUAGACUUGAAAAAAUGGGUGACGACAAGUCUUUUGGGAUUGCUCAGCCAAGUCGCCACUCGCUUCCCUUACCCAUCCAACCAAUAUUACCCGUAACUGAGAUUUGUCUUGCCAUAUAGGCACAAGUACCGUCAACUUUUGAAGCAUCCCUCUAGCUUUGGACGCUUCAGAGGAUGUUGUUCUCUGCGUGGGUGUGCGUGAGAGAUUAAAUAAUGGGUAUAUAUAAUAUCACAGUACAGUUAAUUCAGUCAAUUCAUUUCCUCUCCAAGCUAUGUAGAGUUGAAAUG